UUUUAGCCCAAACCAACCCGCCCCCGUCUAUUUCUCCAUCCUUUGGGCACCUCAAUCCUCCUUUCUUGUCCCUCCAACACCUCCCAGGCCACCCCAACUUGCACCCCAUCCCUACCUUUCCUCCAUCUAUGCCUCUUCCCAUAGCAACCCCUCAGCCCCCAUCUCUUACCAACACCCUCCAGCCUGCAACAACCUUCCCCAACCCACAAGCCCUGUAUCCCUCAGUUCAUUCCUCCACUCAUGGGACUCCAUAGCCACAGUCUAUCUCCAACAUCCUCCCAACUCACAACAACCUGUGCCUCUACCCAUGCCUCCCUCCCAACACAACCUGCACCCCACUCUGUCCCUAGAUAUGUGGGCCCCCAGUGCCCUUUUGUCCUUUCUCCAACAUGCAUCCCUAUCCCUACCUUACUCCCCCCCUCCCUCCAUCCAUCCAUGGGGCCCCUCAGCCUUUCUCUCUCCUUCCUCCACAACACAAACCCUUCAUAGGACAUGGGCAGGGAUGCUAGGUGUACAUCCCCACAGGCCAGGUCUCGGGAGCCAUGGAGAAGUAGGAGUGGACGAAAAACAUGCGGAGUAGUGGAUGUUUGCAGAGGAAUCGUCCAGGAGCUCUAGCCAGAUAAGAAUAUGGCAGAAAUGGACCUGAGCAGCCUGGACAUCCUUCUAAGGAUACAUAAACAGUCCUCAUGUUUCUGCCUUCUGCAUCCCUGGCUUACCAAGGGAAAAGAAAUCAAACAUCAGAGUUUACUCUCCUCAUCGGAUGGAAAGCGAGCGAGAGCAGUGAGCCCGCGAGCAUUGUUGAUGCAAGUGAAGAGCCGUCCGGUUGGCAGUUGCUACUGUCAGUGAGAUACAUGUCUGGUUUCGAGAGGGCUCUGCUCAUGACCCACCUGGCUCCAGAUAGGGCCGCCCCAUUGGCUGGGGCUGGGUUUGUGAGAAAUGCUUCCUGACCAGCUGUGCUUACGAGAGAGACAAGAUCCCCAUUUUCAGGGGCUGCUCAGUUCUCUGGCCAGGAGUGGUGUGUCCUCCACAGCAGAAGGUUGCAUCUAGGAGGUUGACUCCAGGUAGUGAAUUGCUUUCCUUCCUCCCACCUCUCUCUCUUUCUCUCCCCGCCCCUCCACAGUGUGUUGGCCAACUUUCUCACUCUCUUCCCUCUCCUCUUCUCAUGCCGUUUCCCUUCGUAAGACAUGGGCAGGUGUGCUAGGUGUGCAUUCCUACAGGCUAGGUCUCGGGAUCCAUGGAGAAGUAGAAGCUGACAAUAAACAUGCAUAGCAGUGGCUGUUGGUGUUAACUCGGUCUCUGUUGAUGGAGUGGGGCCGAGGUAGAUGGGAUUGGAGAGGGAGGCUGGGAUGAGGGCACCAAGAUUCGAAGCACCAAUAGAGCUUUGUGUAGUGAUGGCUCAUGCUUGGGUUUGCAGCUGUGUUUCCAGAGGAAUCUUCCAGGAGCCCUAGAUCAAGGAGAAAGUGGCAGA